rnacentral:misc_RNA from 1 species
AGUCAGGGGUCUGUGAGCAUGUGACAUUUGCAGUAUAGUUUCACAGGCAUUUUGCUCCUUUUUAUUUGGAUCCCUUCUUUAACUCUGGCCUGGCUGCCCCUUAAAAGUGCACUUGAAGUUCCUUUAUUCAGCAGGAAGACUCCAGUGAGCUGUUUAUCUAACAUUGCUUUCUAUCAUUUCUGUUUUCUUUUAUCUUGUGAGCAAUUUUUCCUGCCCGCUAUUCUACCACCUGCAGCUUAGUUGGAUUUCUCUGCAAAUUUAUAUUUUGAAAUACUAUGAUCGGUGUAAUGGUCAACCUAGGUCAUGGGUAUAAUAAAACGUUUAAAG